CAUUUUCAGUAAAGAAGUCCUGAGUAAACACGUUGUCGUUGAAUACAGCUUCUCUGCCGAACCUUAUAUUAGUGCCUCAAGCAGUAAUGUCUCAGUUUCAUCUCAGCUAAUGCCUGCGGGCGAAGUAAAUACAUUAAGGAAUAUUGCAAAUGGCAAAGAUUAAAGGUCAAGUUAAGUGGUUCAACGAAUCUAAAGGUUUUGGCUUCAUUACUCCUGCUGAUGGCAGCAAAGAUGUGUUUGUACACUUCUCUGCAAUCCAGGGUAACGGCUUCAAAACCCUGGCCGAAGGCCAGAACGUUGAGUUUGAAAUUCAGGACGGCCAGAAAGGCCCGGCAGCUGUUAACGUAACCGCCAUCUAAU
rnacentral:sRNA from 1 species